rnacentral:rRNA from 1 species
CGAAACCGCGAAUGGCUCAUUAAAUCAGUUAUGGUUCACUAGAUCGUACAGUUUACAUGGAUAACUGUGGUAAUUCUAGAGCUAAUACAUGCAACCAGUCCGUACCUCCGGGUGCGGACGCAGUUAUUUGCCCAAAACCAAUCCGGCCUUCGGGUCGGUCAAUUGGUGACUCUGAAUAACCGAAGCGGAGCGCGUGGUUUCAUACCGGCGCCAGAUCUUUCAAGUGUCUGACUUAUCAGCUUGUUGUUAGGUUAUGUUCCUAACAAGGCAGCGACGGGUAACGGGGUGUCAGGGCCCGACACCGGAGAGGGAGCCUGAGAGACGGCUACCACAUCCGAGGAAGGCAGCAGGCGCGCAAAUUACCCACUCCCGGCACGGGGAGGUAGUGACGAAAAAUAACG